rnacentral:rRNA from 1 species
AUUGAACGCUGGCGGCAGGCCUAACACAUGCAAGUCGAGCGGGGUUUUCGGACCUAGCGGCGGACGGGUGAGUAAUGCGUAGGAAGCUACCCGAUAGAGGGGGAUACCAGUUGGAAACGACUGUUAAUACCGCAUAAUGUCUACGGACCAAAGUGUGGGACCUUCGGGCCACAUGCUAUCGGAUGCGCCUACGUGGGAUUAGCUAGUUGGUGGGGUAAUGGCUCACCAAGGAGACGAUCCCUAGCUGGUUUGAGAGGAUGAUCAGCCACACUGGAACUGAGACACGGUCCAGACUCCUACGGGGGGCAGCAGUGGGGAAUAUUGGACAAUGGGCGCAAGCCUGAACCAGCCAUGCCGCGUGUGUGAAGAAGGCCUUCGGGUUGUAAAGCACUUUCAGUAGGGAGGAAGCGUUGUGUGUUAAUAGUACACAGCGUUGACGUUACCUACAGAAGAAGCACCGGCUACCUCUGUGCCAGCCGCCGCCAAAGAC